rfam:Medicago truncatula strain A17 chromosome 2, whole genome shotgun sequence.
UGGCUAUGAUUACAUAUUAUCCGCGCUUCUGAGUUUUCCUAUGAAGUAUAUCGGAAUCAAUGGUUGAAUUUCUUAAUAUGAGCCA